rnacentral:rRNA from 1 species
AUGUCCCUGCCAAAUACUUCUAUCUUUGCUAUUGUUAUACCGAUGGAACAUAGGAGUGUGUGCUCUGUCUUGUUGGUCUGCAGGAGUACCAGGUAUGCUAGCUUGCUCGAAUCUAUGUAUACCAGGAAAACCAGGAGGUCUGUUGGUUCUAAUAGGAGGUGGUUUUGGCACCAAGGACUGAAGGAAUGUGCUCAUAGCAUUCAUCUGUUUGCCCAGCUCAAGGAUUUGCUCUCUCUGCAAGGAAGGCUUAGAACCGACGGACUGAACCUCAUCCUGCAGUUUGGACACCAAUGUUUGCAGAGCAGCGCUGUCCUUGUGGAAUUCGCCAAAAUCCUCUCACAUGGCCAAAAGAUUGCUGCAAGUCUGCUUCAUCGAUGGUCUUGGUCGAUCGUCCCAUCUCCUUGA